rnacentral:tRNA from 1 species
GGGACUGUGGUUCAAUGGCAGAGCAUCUGCUUUGCAUGCAGCAAGGCCAAUUUCAAUUCUUGGCAUCACCA